CACUUGGUGGUUAAGACUUCUCCGAGAAAGUGCCAAGUACAGUUUCUUUUCUUUUAACAAUACGCUUAAUUUUAUACACUAAGACUUGAGUGCUUGAUUUUCCUUUUUUUUAUAAGAAAAACUUUAUGGACGGGCCGCAUGCAAUGCAAGCAUGUAUGGUCGAUAGCUUCACCUCAACCUUUCAAUUUUGAUAUACGCCGAUCCAUGUGUCAACCAAAGAAAACCUCCAUUACUGGCCUUGUUUAGUUCCGAAAAAAUUUCGGAUUUCGCUGAUGUAGUAUUUUCGUUUUUAUUUGACAAAUAUUGUCUAAUCAUGAAUUAACUAGGAUCAAAAGAUUCGUCUCGUGAUUUACAGACAAACUGUGUAAUUAGUUGUUGUUUUCAUCUAUAUUUAAUGCUUCAUGCAUGUGCCGUAAGAUUCGAUGUGACGGGGAAUCUUGAAAACUUUUUGGAUUUCGGGGUGAACUAAACAAGGCCUAGCUUUCUAGAAAAACAGGAGUAGCUAGAAACGAAUUGGUGUAAAAAUCGAUAUACGACCAGGGCAAAGCCCCGACAGAUAUGAUGGGUCCUAAAUUUGUAGACGUCACGGCAUGCAUGCAGUAGUUUCAUGGCAGCCGGCCGGCGUCGUCACCUCGUACGACGAACGAGGAACACAACGCCGUGUCGCGACAAAAAGCCUAAGGACAUGUUAUAUUAUAUACUAUUAUUAGGACAGCAAAACAUGUCACGAGAAUUCCGUGUGCCGGAGGAGACACGUAUCGGGAAUAGUAUCUCGGGUCGGGACCGACCGACCUCCCGGCCUUGUUGACUUGCUGUUGUCUCGGUGCAGUCUGCCGCCCGCGGACGCGGAGCCAGUGCAAGAAAGGCCUUGUUUAGUUCCCAAAAAAUUUUAUAAAAUUUUUCAGAUUUUCCGUCACAUCAAAUCUUUAGACGCAUGUAUGGAGUAUUAAAUAUAGACGAAAAUAAAAAACUAAUUACAUAGUUUGGUCGGAAUUGAUGAGACAAAUCUUUUGAGCCUAGUUAGUUCAUGAUUAGACAAUAUUUGUCAAAUAUAAACGAAAGUGCUACAAUAUGUGUUUUGCAAAAUUUUUUAGAACUAAACAAAGCCAUAGGCGCCAAAACGCGCGGCGGGCUUCCUUGCGGGCGCACGGCAGUCUCGGCAGCAGGGGCCACCCCCGUGAUCGGCGUGAUCCAUCGAUCGAUGCCGCGGCCGGUUCGGUGUGGUGUCACGAGUGGUUGUAUCAGUGAUGAUCAUUGUGGCCACUUCUGGGCUACACCCGGCCUGACGGUACUCUGACAGGGACAAGUGUGGACUCCCCUGCCUGACUCUAGUCCACACGUACUCACCCACCACACUCUGCAACAAGAAAAAAAAAAAGGAGGUGCAAAUCCAAGCAAGCAACAAGUCGGCAACAAAAUGGACCUAGUGGCUGUAGCUGAGUUUACUAGUAGCUCGUUAGGCACGGGAUUACAAUUCCAAACUGGAACAGAAGUCCAUUGCACGGCUCUUUUUUUUCAGUCAGUGAAAAAAAAAACAUUGGAAUAAAUUAACACACAGACAGCUAGCUGGUUCAUGUGUUUUUUUCCUCGGAUGCUAAUGAUGCAAACCUGCAAGGCUGCAACUAACUGACAUGUGAUAUGUUUUUGUUUUCGUGGCGACGACACGACACGUACGGCAGGGCUGCUGAACCUGCCGCCGGGCUCCAAGGACGCGCAGGUGUUCGAGCAGUUCGCCAGGCAGGCGGCGGCGCAGGGCACCGCACCCAGUAAGUUCCACCCAUGCUCACUACUACUACUCACUACUAGUACUUCUGUAUUCGUCUCCUUGCAUGGUUUUCAGGGUGGUUGUUGGCAAAAAAUAAUACUGUAUACGUACUACUCCUAUGCAUGUAGCAGUGCUCUUGCUGUCGGUUCUCUAAAUUUGAAAUUUCAAGGUCAUCGACUCGAUCGUGGCGAUCGAGCAUCUUUUGGACCUCGCUUUUGCACUUGUGUUCCGACUGCAAAUUGCAAUCAUCAAUCAUCAUCACUAGCUUUAUUUAUUUAUUUAUUUAUUUAUUUAUUUAUUUAUUUAUUUAUUUAUUUAUUUAUUUAUUUAUUUAUCUGAUGCUGUCUAACGCACGCCUGCCUAACCGUGCUGCAUGGUGCCCUCCAGGUGGCGGCGGCAGCGCGGCGAAGGCGAGCGCGAGCCCGCAGAAGAGCGGAGCGGCCGCCGGUCACGCGCAGCGGUGGUUGGGAGUGGGGAGCAGCAGGGUCGGUGGUGGUCGUGGUGAUGGCGGCGCACGCGCGGUGGCGGUGGCGCUCGCACUCUUCGCCGCCGGCCCGCUCGCCUUCUUGCUUGGAUAGUUGGCGCCGGCCGGCUUUGUGGCGUGUGUCGUCGGGUGCGUGGGUGCGUGCGUGGUGCUGUACUUUUCACACUGGGAAACCGGAAACCAAAGAAGUUGUAUCAAGAGUUUGAAUUAAAAAAGAGAGUGUGUCGUUGUACAAUUUCCUUUUGUCGCGCGCCUUCCUCCAAUAGCUCUAGUAGUUACCGUCAUUUUAAUGAAUAUGAAUUGAGAGCCAUGUAGCACCAUGGAAGUGAUUAAGAGGGAAGUUGUCAGCAGGAAGCGGAUACAAUUAUGAAUUAUUCUAUUUAAUUACAAAAAAGCAUUGAUCUAAAGCUACGGCAAAAACCUUGUACUAAAGACUACCAUACUGUGUAGAUUUACUCAUGCGAAGUCUAACAAAAUUGAAUUUUUUCUAUUUUAUGAUUUUUCUAUGAUUUUAGUAAGAUUCAGCUAAUAAAUAAUAAAGAAAAAUUUAAUAAGAUGAUCAGUUUAAAAAAUUGACGAGUUGUUUUACCUAGUUUAGAAGUUUAGAGAAAAAAAUAUUUUUUUAUGCGCGUGCGCGCAUUGCAGCUAAGGCCUUGUUUAGUUCCAAAAUAUUUUGCAAAAUGUGAAUAGUACCAAUUUCGUUUGUAUUUGACAAAUAUUGUCCAAUCAUAGACUAACUAGGCUCAAAAGAUUCGUCUCGUCAAUUCCGACCAAACGGUGUAAUUAGUUUUUAUUUUUGUCUAUAUUUAAUACUUCAUGCAUACGUCUAAAGAUUCGAUGUGACGGGGAAUCUGAAAAAAUUUUGUAAAAUUUUUUGGAACUAAACAAGGCCUAAGAGAUGAAUGGCAUGUGCAAUCUUGGGCUUGCGGGCCAUGGGAUCUUCGGCUAGGAGGGCCCGAGGCGGCCAUGCAGCUGAACGCUGACGAGUUUCGAGCUCGGCGCAUCGGGCUGUAAAGUCGUUCAGGCCUUCGGGCGAGCAGUGCAUCAAACAGGCCCAAUGAAGUGGUCGAAACUGCUACCACUAUUGUGGCAAGCCAAUGUAAUUUACGUAGCAAAAAGAAAAAAAAAAUCUUUAGUUGAUCGAUGGUCUGAUUCAACAUUUCAUCCUCUUACCAAUUUACUACAUAUAGAGUACUACAGUAUUUAUUAAACCAAAUCCUUCUCUAAUGUCGGAAAUUUACGUUGAAGUCAUGCAUUAUUACAAAAUUGACGCUAAACUAUUGUUUUUUGUGUAUAUAUAGAUUGCCCUCAUAAAGUGCAUUAUCUAUUGAUUUGGUAUACUACUCGAAUUGUGUAUUCGGCUUUCGUCAAUUAGUUUCUUGUGACGUAUUUUGUAUCAUUCCACUUCGUUUUUCCUUCGAAACUGCUUUAAAUGCAUACAUUGACUAUAUGGCUUGAGUUCAAGAAUGUGAAAUAACAUGGUGGUUUAGGGCCGACUAUUUGGACUCUCCUACACCUACACGUGAUAUCUCACCAAUGUGCUAUGCUACGUUACACGAGUACGGGUACGAAUAUUGGAUACAAUACGUAUCGGAUACGCGGAUACACACUUUCUAAAAACAAAACCCACUAAAAUGGUGUAUCCGAGUAUCCGUAUCCGCGUAUCCGACGAGUAUCGGAUACGGAUACGUCACCCCCCUUGGAGUAUCCGUGUAACAUAGGUGCUAUGUAUUAGCCAUACCUUGAUGUCUAGAAUUUUCGUUGUAAUCGACUAAAAAACAAAUCUAUAAAUUGAUUAGGUCAGAGCUCUAUAUUAACCAUACACCUCUAGACUAUAUAAAAAGUACAAACUCCUAAACGUACCUAAUAGACAUAUAUAAUACUCCUCAAUAUAUGGGCACACACAAUACAAACGUCAUCAUAUACGGGGCAUAGUAUACCCUGUGUCUAUAAACUACUAUAAAUAAUAUGUGGUUCCUCUAGGCGUACUCUAAGGCCUUGUUUAGUUCGUAAUUUUUUUUGAAUUUGGACACUGUAGCACUUUCAUUUUUACUUGACAAACAUUGUCCAAUCAUAGAGUAAUUAGGAUUAAAAGAUCCGUCUCGCGAUUUACAGAUGAACUGUCCAAUUAGUUUUUUUUUCAUGUAUAUUUAAUAUACCAUGCAUGUACCGUAAGAUUCGAUGUGACGAGGAAUUUUGAAAAUUUUUUGGAACUAAACAAGGCCUAAAUCUUCUACUCACAAUACAUUCUAUAAUUGUUGGUUGUGGUAAAACAAGAGAUAGUUUUGUUGCUAGAAGAAACUAGGGAUGAAUUUGACUACAGGGACCACUAAGCACACUUCAUUUUUUGAGCGUUUCAAAAAAAUUUCAACUUUCUAUUCUAAAUUGUAAAUCAUCUAGACAAUUUAUAUUGAAGUGGAGGAAGUAAUAUUUACUAUACGACUAACGCGUGAGUGAGGGAGAGGAAGUACUCUCUCCAUCCCAAAUUAUAAGUCAUUACAAGAAUAUUGGAGAGUUAAAGCAUUUCAAGUUUGAAAAAAAAUAUAGAAAGAAUUGCAUAGAUUUAUGACAUCAAAUAGAUAUAAUAUGAAAAUAUAAGUAAUAAAAACCUAAUGAUACUUAGUUGUUAUUAUAAAUGUUAUUAUCUUAUGAUAUAAAUUUGGUCAAACUUAAGGUGAUUUGACUCUUCAAAAUUCUUGGAUGACUUAUAAUUUGGUACGAAUGAAGUAGUAGCUAGAGACCAAGAAAAUCUAGAAGACCAACAAAUGAAAAGAAAAGAAACUACUAAAAUGUUGGGAAUAACAUGUAGAACAUAUUUACUACUAUGUUUGAAAGAAAAUACAGUAUUAUUCUAGUUCUAUCUUCAUUCAAAUACAAUCGAUCAAAUUCACAGGAAAAAUCAUUAAAUAUCUAUGUCACUAAAUAUGUAUACAUUGUUAUAAAAAAAUAUCUAAAAGAAAAUAGUGAAUCUAAUGACAAUUUUUAAUUAAGAACAUUUUGAUUAUAAAAAUAAAUUAACUUUAAUUUAAAAUAGUUUGACUCGGGCAGAACAGAAACAAACCUGAUGGCCCAAUCUAUAUCUAUAUAUCCUAUAAAGACAAACCCCACUAAGCUAAUUCUCUUGCACCUCCUUGCGCCACAUCAUCCAUUUAUCCUGUUGCUGCAUGUAAUUAAGUGCCCACUCACAAAUAAUUUCAGUAGUGGAUGCAGCUGCCUACACAUGACCAUGCAUGCAUACUGCUAGCAAUUAUUUUCUCACAUGAUCUCCUCUCUUCUUCUUUUGAAAUUGACUACUAAAACUAUAUAUAGAUGACUCAAUAAACUACAGUAAAACUAUAUUUAUAUUCCCCUUCAUACCCGCAGCAACGCGCGGGGAAUCCUCCUAGUUUUUCUAAAUUCCAAGGUCAUUGUCAUGUACUCCUACUGUAGACAACAGCUAAAAGUCUGGGCGGAAACUUAAACUUCAGGCGCACGCGUAAUCCCACGCACAAAUCAUCAUCGCCUAUCCUUUUUUUCGACACAAAAAUACAAAAAAUAAUCGUAUUCUUCCGCGAACCAAACCAAGUUGUACCAAACCCAAGCCAGCCAACGCAAGCCCAACUGCCCAAGUCGCCCCAAAUCAUUCGUCUCCUUCCUCCUCCGCUGCAUUUCUUCGUUUGAUUGCUCGAUCGAUUGAUUGAUUGGCGAGCAACACCAACUCCCACCACCCGCAACCGCAGCAAUCUCUUCCCUCGCCAACUCCGUCUCGUCGAGGAACCCCAUUCGCAUUCGCCAUUGUCAAGGAGGAGGAGGAGGCCCGGUCGUCGCGUGAGGAGGCGUUGUGGAUCUCGGAUGGCGUCGGCCAAGUCGUCGCGGUCGCGGCCCGCGGGCCACUCGGGGGUGUUCCCCGUGGGCAGCGCCGCCGCGGUGGGGAGCGGGGGCGGGGGCGGGGGAGGCGGAGGAGGCGGCGACGGCGGGGUGCAGCUCGCCGACAAGCUCAAGAUCUUCAAGACCGACAACUUCGAUCCCGACGCCUACGUGCAGUCCAAGUGCCAGACCAUGAACGAGAAGGUGAGCCUGCCCUGCCCUGCCUGCCUGCUUGCCAUCUCUGAUCCGGACUAGGCGAAUGUGGAGAUCUGUGGAUGCACUGGUUGGUGUUGGAAUUGAGGCGAAUUGCGCAACAGCGGUGAUUCUGUUCUCUGGGCGAUUGGUGAUUCAGGGAAUGCACUUUGGCUAAUUGCAGGAGGGUGCUUGAUGGACAUCUCAAUGUGUGUGUUCUCAGCGCAAUGGGUACUUUGUGGUGAAAAAGUGAUCUGGCAUAACUUGUGGGGAUGAUAUCGGAAUUUGGAUGCUUCACUCAACGAGACGAAGAAUUUUUAUACUGGUCCAAAUAUAUUUUUUUGUUUACUGUGUUGUGUGUUGAAAUUAGAAAACAUGUCGAAAACAAGAGGAGUAUUGUCUUGUGAUUUUAUCUGCACAUUUGAGUACAAGCCGGGGAUUUUGAAAUGCUUGAGUUUACGCUUGGAUAUACUGUCACUCUUCAGGUUGCAUCAUGAUAUGGUUAUGUGUUGGGUUUUACUUAGAAAUGAAAUGUGGUCAUGUUGAUGUUGCCAUUUAGAAAUGAAAUGCGGUUAUAUUCAGUUUUCUGGUGGACAUGGGGAAAUCAUGCCAUUGCUUUGGAAAUAGUGCAUUUUGAUUUUGGUAUGACUAUUGCUACAGAAGUUUUGAGUCCAAACCUAAUUAUGAUGAUCAGAACAAUUAAAGGGAUCACAACCGUGCUAAUACAUUUCUUUUUUGGCGACAGAAAAAAAUGGUGUUUUGUUCUUUUGGCAUCAUCUGCAGCUUGAAAAGCUACUCAAUUUAAAGAAUUUGCCCUUGCAUGCUAUAUUAAUUGAGUUAGGGUUCUUAAUUUUGUGGUAACUUUUGAGUAAAUGAUUGAGAAUGCAACAGAUUUUGUAUCAUGUGUUUCCUCUAUCUAUUCCUCACUAAGGGUGUUACUUCAAUGUUUGCUUUUUGUGGCAACUGGGAUAACUUCCUUUCAGCCUAACAAGAUCCAUGCGAGUUUAGAAAUUUUUAACUUUUGCAUCGACAGCCAUCCCUUUGU
rnacentral:lncRNA from 1 species